GGCCAGACUCCUACGGGAGGCAGCAGUGGGGAAUAUUGCACAAUGGGGGAAACCCUGAUGCAGCGACGCCGCGUGAGUGAAGAAGUAUUUCGGUAUGUAAAGCUCUAUCAGCAGGGAAGAAAAUGACGGUACCUGACUAAGAAGCCCCGGCUAACUACGUGCCAGCAGCCGCGGUAAUACGUAGGGGGCAAGCGUUAUCCGGAUUUACUGGGUGUAAAGGGAGCGUAGACGGCGGAACAAGUCAGAAGUGAAAACCCGGGGCUCAACCCUGGGAGUGCUUUUGAAACUGUUUGGCUGGAGUGCAGGAGAGGUAAGCGGAAUUCCUAGUGUAGCGGUGAAAUGCGUAGAUAUUAGGAGGAACACCAGUGGCGAAGGCGGCUUACUGGACUGUAACUGACGUUGAGGCUCGAAAGCGUGGGGAGCAAACAGGAUUAGAUACCCUGGUA
rnacentral:rRNA from 1 species